GGCCGGGAUAGCUCAGUUGGUAGAGCAGAG
rnacentral:tRNA from 2 species